rnacentral:rRNA from 1 species
AACGAACGCUGGCGGCAGGCUUAACACAUGCAAGUCGAGCGCCCCGCAAGGGGAGCGGCAGACGGGUGAGUAACGCGUGGGAAUCUACCGAGCCCUGCGGAAUAGCUCCGGGAAACUGGAAUUAAUACCGCAUACGCCCUACGGGGGAAAGAUUUAUCGGGGUUUGAUGAGCCCGCGUUGGAUUAGCUAGUUGGUGGGGUAAUGGCUUACCAAGGCGACGAUCCAUAGCUGGUCUGAGAGGAUGAUCAGCCACAUUGGGACUGAGACGCGGCCCAAACUCCUACGGGAGGCAGCAGUGGGGAAUAUUGGACAAUGGGGGCAACCCUGAUCCAGCCAUGCCGCGUGAGUGAUGAAGGCCUUAGGGUUGUAAAGCUCUUUCACCGGUGAAGAUAAUGACGGUAACCGGAGAAGAAGCCCCGGCUAACUUCGUGCCAGCCGCCGCCGUAAGAC